rnacentral:antisense_RNA from 1 species
CUUGAGAGAGCCGACCCGCAACGGCCGCUCCGCGGGGCGUUGUUGCCCGUACGUGGCGAGCAGGGCCUGGGCCUC